AACGCGAAGAACCUUACCUGGUCUUGAAAUAUAUCGGAUCGCCUGUGAAAGCAGGUUUCCCUUCGGGGCUGAUAUACAGGUGCUGCAUGGCUGUCGUCAGCUCGUGCCGUGAGGUGUUCGGUUAAGUCCGGCAACGAGCGCAACCCGUGCCGUCAGUUGCCAGCAAGUAAUGUUGGGGACUCUGGCGGGACUGCCUGUGUUAAGCAGGAGGAAGGCGGGGAUGACGUCAAGUCAGUAUGGCCCUUACGACCAGGGCUGCACACGUGCUACAAUGGGGGGUACAAUGGGACGCAAUGCCGCGAGGCGGAGCAAAUCCACAAAACCUCUCUUAGUUCAGAUUGCAGUCUGCAACUCGACUGCAUGAAGUUGGAAUCGCUAGUAAAGGCGUAUCAGCUACGACGCCUUGAAUACGUUCCCGGGUCUUGUACACACCG
rnacentral:rRNA from 1 species